rnacentral:rRNA from 1 species
AGGCCUACCAAGGCGACGAUCUGUAGCGGGUCUGAGAGGAUGAUCCGCCACACUGGGACUGAGACACGGCCCAGACUCCUACGGGAGGCAGCAGUGGGGAAUAUUGGACAAUGGGGGGAACCCUGAUCCAGCCAUGCCGCGUGUGUGAAGAAGGCCUUUUGGUUGUAAAGCACUUUAAGCGAGGAGGAGGCUACUCUAGUUAAUACCUAGGGAUAGUGGACGUUACUCGCAGAAUAAGCACCGGCUAACUCUGUGCCAGCAGCCGCGGUAAUACAGAGGGUGCGAGCGUUAAUCGGAUUUACUGGGCGUAAAGCGUGCGUAGGUGGCCAAUUAAGUCAAAUGUGAAAUCCCCGAGCUUAACUUGGGAAUUGCAUUCGAUACUGGUUGGCUAGAGUAUGGGAGAGCAUGGUAGAAUACCAGGUGUAGCGGUGAAAUGCGUAGAGAUCUGGAGGAAUACCGAUGGCGAAGGCAGCCAUCUGGCCUAAUACUGACACUGAGGUACGAAAGCAUGGGGAGCAAACAGGAUUAGAUACCCUGGUAGUCCAUGCCGUAAACGAUGUCUACUAGCCGUUGCCGUCUUUGAGACUUUAGUGGCGCAGCUAACGCGAUAAGUAGACCGCCUGGGGAGUACGGUCGCAAGACUAAAACUCAAAUGAAUUGACGGGGGCCCGCACAAGCGGUGGAGCAUGUGGUUUAAUUCGAUGCAACGCGAU